rnacentral:rRNA from 1 species
AACGAACGCUGGCGGCAGGCUUAACACAUGCAAGUCGAACGGGCACCUUCGGGUGUCAGUGGCAGACGGGUGAGUAACGCGUGGGAACGUACCCUUCGGUUCGGAAUAACCCAGGGAAACUUGGGCUAACACCGGAUACGUCCGCAAGGAGAAAGAUUUAUCGCCGAAGGAUCGGCCCGCGUCGGAUUAGCUAGUUGGUGGGGUAAUGGCCCACCAAGGCGACGAUCCGUAGCUGGUCUGAGAGGAUGANCAGCCACACUGGGACUGAGACACGGCCCAGACUCCUACGGGAGGCAGCAGUGGGGAAUAUUGGACAAUGGGCGAAAGCCUGAUCCAGCCAUGCCGCGUGAGUGAAGAAGGCCUUAGGGUUGUAAAGCU